UACGUAGGGUGCGAGCGUUAAUCGGAAUUACUGGGCGUAAAGCGUGCGCAGGCGGUUUUGUAAGACAGAUGUGAAAUCCCCGGGCUUAACCUGGGAAUGGCAUUUUGAACUGGCAGUCUAGAGUGUGUCAGAGGGGGGUGGAAUUCCACGUGUAGCAGUGAAAUGCGUAGAUCUGUGGAGGAACACCGAUGGCGAAGGCAGCCCCCUGGGAUAACACUGACGCUCAUGUACGAAAGCGUGGGUAGCAACCAGG
rnacentral:rRNA from 1 species